rnacentral:rRNA from 1 species
AUGAACGCUGGCGGCGUGCCUAAUACAUGCAAGUCGAGCGAACAGACGAGGAGCUUGCUCCUCUGACGUUAGCGGCGGACGGGUGAGUAACACGUGGAUAACCUACCUAUAAGACUGGGAUAACUUCGGGAAACCGGAGCUAAUACCGGAUAAUAUAUUGAACCGCAUGGUUCAAUAGUGAAAGACGGUUUUGCUGUCACUUAUAGAUGGAUCCGCGCCGCAUUAGCUAGUUGGUAAGGUAACGGCUUACCAAGGCAACGAUGCGUAGCCGACCUGAGAGGGUGAUCGGCCACACUGGAACUGAGACACGGUCCAGACUCCUACGGGAGGCAGCAGUAGGGAAUCUUCCGCAAUGGGCGAAAGCUUGACGGAGCAACGCCGCGUGAGUGAUGAAGGUCUUCGGAUCGUAAAACUCUGUUAUUAGGGAAGAACAAAUGUGUAAGUAACUAUGCACGUCUUGACGGUACCUAAUCAGAAAACCACGGCUAACUACGU